rnacentral:lncRNA from 1 species
UCUAUGAUCAUAUCGUAGACAGUUUAUCCUCUUGUCACGACGAUCUUCACUCUGAAAUUGCGUUGCAAUUUUCAAUAUUUCAGACUUGUGAUUCAUCAAGUAAAUACUCCUGUAUCUACUCAAAUCGUCAGUGAAGUAAGAACAUAAUGAUAUCCAUUGCGUGCCUUAUCACUCAUUGGACUGCACACAUCAAAAAUGCAUUACUCCAACAAGUUACUUUCUUGUUUCAUGUGGCAUGUUUUGCAUGUCUCAAGUGAUUCAAAAUCAAGUGAGU